ACUCAAAUGAAUAGACGGGGACCCGCACAAGCAGUGGAGCAUGUGGUUUAAUUCGAUGCAACGCGAAGAACCUUACCCAGACUUGACAUGCAGAUGACCGCUCUAGAAAUAGAGCUUCCCUUCGGGGCAUCUGCACAGGUGCUGCAUGGCUGUCGUCAGCUCGUGCCGUGAGGUGUUGGGUUAAGUCCCGCAACGAGCGCAACCCUUAUCAUUAGUUGCCAACAUUUAAGGUGGGAACUCUAAUGAGACUGCCUGGGUUAACCAGGAGGAAGGUGAGGAUGACGUCAAGUCCGCAUGGCCCUUAUGUCUGGGGCUACACACGUGCUACAAUGGUCGGUACAGAAGGCAGCGAAGCCGCGAGGUGAAGCAAAUCCCCAAAACCGGCCCCAGUUCAGAUUGUAGUCUGCAACUCGACUACAUGAAGACGGAAUUGCUAGUAAUGACGAGUCAGCAACAUCGUCGUGAAUACGUUCCCGGGUCUUGCACACACCGCCCGU
rnacentral:rRNA from 1 species